AACCCCCACAGACUGAUCUACCUCUUGUUACAACCCUGUGGGUCGUUUCUGUGUAUUCUCCGUUUCUGUUCCUUUGUUCUGUGUCUUAUAGGCCGAUUGGUGCAGCUGAUUGGUAUCGUGAUCCUUUUGGACGUCUUGACGACCUGCCCCUUUAAAAGUGGCUGGAUGACGUCAAUCGGGAGCGCAGCUCUCGCCUUUGCUCGUUAUGGAGGAUCACUUUCGUUGCCACCGCCGCUGCUGCACUUUGUUGCCGCUAGGGCCAGCCUCGGGCCUUGCCCGUGCAACCACCGUCAUUUUUCCACUCCCUGGGGUGAGAGACCAGGAGUGAGCGCCUGGCCGCAGAGGCUUACUUUU